AUUUGCUCCAUUGGAGUUCAUCUUGUGAGCCCAGGAUAGGCUUCCCUCUUUUCUCCAGCUGGUAAAAUGAAGAAGACAACCUGGGCUCCAUUGUUCUUCACUUGUGCUCCCAGGGCUUUAUAGUCUUCCUUGAUUCUUCUUACAUCCUGCCUUCCAUCAUCAUUUGUACCUAUGUGGAAGAGUAACAGGCCAUGAUAGUCUGUGCUCUUGAUGAACUGUGGACCUUUUCAGCAACAUCCCUGAUCUUGGCUCCCAGGAAGCAGAAGACCUCUCAAGACUCUCUGUCAGGAUGGCAGAGGGGAAUAUUAGUGCCUUUUAACAGGGAGGCACCCGAUAUAAGCACCCGGUGAUUCAUUUCAUACUACUCACUGAAAGCUGCUGAUGUGGUUUCUUCAUGUAGACCUCAGUCACGGGAUUCAGGAGCAUCUAUAGCUGCAAGAGCUUUGUACCUGUUUUGCUGGUGAAGCUGGAAGGAUUCUACUGUUUCUCUCCUCUUCUGCUGUUCUUGGGACACAAUGAAAGGAUGCUUCACAGAGAGAACCAGAUUUCACUCUCAUCACUGUGAUCUAUCCUUAAAGAAUUUUUCAUGGCCAUUUGUCAGUCUCACAAGGCAAUCAGGACCUUCUGACAAAAGAAGAUUAGAAAACUGUCCUUUUAUCU